rnacentral:rRNA from 1 species
GAUGAACGCUGGCUGCGUGCCUAAUACAUGCAAGUCGAGCGAACGGACGAGAAGCUUGCUUCUCUGAUGUUAGCGGCGGACGGGUGAGUAACACGUGGAUAACCUACCUAUAAGACUGGGAUAACUUCGGGAAACCGGAGCUAAUACCGGAUAAUAUUUUGAACCGCAUGGUUCAAAAGUGAAAGACGGUCUUGCUGUCACUUAUAGAUGGAUCCGCGCUGCAUUAGCUAGUUGGUAAGGUAACGGCUUACCAAGGCAACGAUGCAUAGCCGACCUGAGAGGGUGAUCGGCCACACUGGAACUGAGACACGGUCCAGACUCCUACGGGAGGCAGCAGUAGGGAAUCUUCCGCAAUGGGCGAAAGCCUGACGGAGCAACGCCGCGUGAGUGAUGAAGGUCUUCGGAUCGUAAAACUCUGUUAUUAGGGAAGAACAUAUGUGUAAGUAACUGUGCACAUCUUGACGGUACCUAAUCAGAAAGCCACGGCUAACUACGUGCCAGCAGCCGCGGUAAUACGUAGGUGGCAAGCGUUAUCCGGAAUUAUUGGGCGUAAAGCGCGCGUAGGCGGUUUUUUAAGUCUGAUGUGAAAGCCCACGGCUCAACCGUGGAGGGUCAUUGGAAACUGGAAAACUUGAGUGCAGAAGAGGAAAGUGGAAUUCCAUGUGUAGCGGUGAAAUGCGCAGAGAUAUGGAGGAACACCAGUGGCGAAGGCGACUUUCUGGUCUGUAACUGACGCUGAUGUGCGAAAGCGUGGGGAUCAAACAGGAUUAGAUACCCUGGUAGUCCACGCCGUAAACGAUGAGUGCUAAGUGUUAGGGGGUUUCCGCCCCUUAGUGCUGCAGCUAACGCAUUAAGCACUCCGCCUGGGGAGUACGACCGCAAGGUUGAAACUCAAAGGAAUUGACGGGGACCCGCACAAGCGGUGGAGCAUGUGGUUUAAUUCGAAGCAACGCGAAGAACCUUACCAAAUCUUGACAUCCUUUGACAACUCUAGAGAUAGAGCCUUCCCCUUCGGGGGACAAAGUGACAGGUGGUGCAUGGUUGUCGUCAGCUCGUGUCGUGAGAUGUUGGGUUAAGUCCCGCAACGAGCGCAACCCUUAAGCUUAGUUGCCAUCAUUAAGUUGGGCACUCUAAGUUGACUGCCGGUGACAAACCGGAGGAAGGUGGGGAUGACGUCAAAUCAUCAUGCCCCUUAUGAUUUGGGCUACACACAUGCUACAAUGGACAAUACAAAGGGCAGCGAAACCGCAAGGUCAAGCAAAUCCCAUAAAGUUGUUCUCAGUUCGGAUUGUAGUCUGCAACUCGACUACAUGAAGCUGGAAUCGCUAGUAAUCGUAGAUCAGCAUGCUACGGUGAAUACGUUCCCGGGUCU